UACAGAGGGUGCGAGCGUUAAUCGGAAUUACUGGGCGUAAAGCGCGCGUAGGCGGCUUUGUAAGUCGGGUGUGAAAUCCCCAGGCUUAACCUGGGAACUGCAUUCGAGACUGCAUUGCUAGAGUAUGGGAGAGGGAAGUGGAAUUUCCGGUGUAGCGGUGAAAUGCGUAGAUAUCGGAAGGAACAUCAGUGGCGAAAGCGACUUCCUGGACCAAUACUGACGCUCAUGUGCGAAAGCGUGGGGAGCAAACAGG
rnacentral:rRNA from 1 species